rnacentral:lncRNA from 1 species
CCUCUAGUGUAAACCAAUAGGCCACCACGACGUGGUUUAUUAAGUAUUUUAUUUUAUAAUUAAAUUAAAUUAAAUAUAGAGAAAAUGACUAGGAUAACACUAAAAAAGUUUUUGUCACAAAUAUAGCCUAUAAGAAUAAAAAUGACCAAAAUAGCACUUAAUGUUUUAUCAAAAGAGAUAAAUAUACACUUAUACCCCAAUGGUAAAUUAAUUUAGACAUUAGGGUUUAGAGUUAAGGGGUGGGUUUAGGAUUUAGGGUUUAGGGUUUAGGGUUUAGAGAUUAUGGUUUAGGGUUUAGAGUUUAUGGGUGGGGUUUAGGGUUUAGAGUUUAGAGUUAAGGGGUGGGGUUUAAGAUUUAUGAUUUAGGGUUUAGGAUUUAGGGUUUAGAGUUUAGAGUUUAGGGUUUAGGGUUUAGAGUUUAGGUUUUAGGGUUUAGAGUUGAGGAGUGGGGUUUUGGGAUAAAAUUUCAAAUUUUGAAAAAUAAAAAUAAUUUAAAUUUUUCAAAAGAUAAAAUGCUAUUUUGGUCAUUUUAGUUUU